rnacentral:rRNA from 1 species
AAAUUGAAGAGUUUGAUCAUGGCUCAGAUUGAACGCUGGCGGCAGGCCUAACACAUGCAAGUCGAACGGUAACAGAAAGCAGCUUGCUGUUUUGCUGACGAGUGGCGGACGGGUGAGUAAUGUCUGGGAAACUGCCUGAUGGAGGGGGAUAACUACUGGAAACGGUAGCUAAUACCGCAUAACGUCGCAAGACCAAAGAGGGGGACCUU